rnacentral:rRNA from 1 species
CCUACGGGUGGCAGCAGUGGGGGAUAUUGCACAAUGGGGGGAACCCUGAUGCAGCGACGCCGCGUGGGUGAAGGAGCGUUUCGGCGCGUAAAGCCCUAUCGGCAGGGAAGAAGAUGACGGUACCUGGCCAAGAAGCCCCGGCUAACUAGGUGCCAGCAGCCGCGGGAAUACGUAGGGGGCCAGCGUUUACCGGAUGUACUGGGUGGAAAGGGGGCGCAGACGGCAAGGCAAGCCAGGAGUGAAAGCCCGGGGCCCAACCCCGGGACUGCUCUUGAAACUGCAUGGCUGGAGUACAGGAGGGGCAGGCGGAAUUCCUAGUGUAGCGGUGAAAUGCGUAGAUAUUAGGCGGAACACCAGUGGCGAAGGCGGCCUGCUGGACUGUGACUGACGUUGAGGCCCGAAGGCGUGGGGAGCAAACAGGAUUAGAUACCCGAGUAGUC